AAUCUUAGAAAGGAUUUGGCCUGAAGUGAACAAUUGGGUGAACUACCCAUUGAAACAGGCCCUGGUGCACCUGCUAGACCAAGAAGUCAUCAAGAUGGAAGACAGUAUGACUAAAUUCUGCACUUCAAACUUGGCAUAUCAGUUAAGCCAAAUUGGACUAAAUAGAGUAGUGCAGGCAUGGAAUGCUCAUAGGAUCCCAGGCCGUAGAAUACCCAAAGAACUUGCAGCAAGUGGAUGUCCAUCAAAAAUUUCAGAUGAGCUGCUGCCCAAUGCCUCUGUUGUGGCAAAUAUAUACGAGCGGGAGUUGGGAUCGUCGCUGACUUGGAUGUCUACCUUUGGAACGGACCCCUUUUCCUCUGAGGAGGACAGAUGUCAUGCAGAGCAGGACUUUGUAGAAAAAUAAAUAAUAACCUGUUGCAAAGCGAGCCAAUGCAAAUAAGCAGCCCACUCAGGAACCUGGAACACAGCUAAGACCAAGCGAGGCACACACUCCCAUCUCUUCAAAGUCUCUUCAAAAAAGUAUGUCCUUCAGAGCACAUAAACAAUAUACAAUUUGGAAAUGCCAGGUAUGUGAUGUUCAUUUAUAUAUUUCAACAUGACACAUGAGCCUGCUAUUUUAUUUGAUCCAAAAAAGAAAGUUGCAUUUGCUAAAGCAGUAAUAUUGUGAAAUAUUUUUACUAUUUAAAAUAACUGCU
rnacentral:lncRNA from 1 species